CCUACGGGUGGCAGCAGUGAGGAAUAUUGGUCAAUGGGCGAGAGCCUGAACCAGCCAAGUCGCGUGAAGGAUGACGGCCCUACGGGUUGUAAACUUCUUUUGUCAGGGAGCAAUUGGGUCCACGCGUGGGCUUAGCGAGAGUACCUGAAGAAAAAGCAUCGGCUAACUCCGUGCCAGCAGCCGCGGUAAUACGGAGGAUGCGAGCGUUAUCCGGAUUUAUUGGGUUUAAGGGGUGCGUAGGCGGAAUAUCAAGUCAGCUGUAAAAUCGCGCGGCUCAACCGCGCCACGCAGUUGAAACUGGACGCCUUGAGUUCACAACAGGCAGGCGGAAUUCGUGGUGUAGCGGUGAAAUGCAUAGAUAUCACGAGGAACCCCGAUUGCGAAGGCAGCCUGCCGGGGUGCGACUGACGCUGAGGCUCGAAGGUGCGGGUAUCAAACAGGAUUAGAUACCCUGGUAGUC
rnacentral:rRNA from 1 species